CAGUCGCCACGGUAAUACGUAGGGUGCAAGCGUUAAUCGGAAUUACUGGGCGUAAAGCGUGCGCAGGCGGUCCGCUAAGACAGAUGUGAAAUCCCCGGGCUUAACCUGGGAACUGCAUUUGUGACUGGCGGGCUAGAGUAUGGCAGAGGGGGGUAGAAUUCCACGUGUAGCAGUGAAAUGCGUUGAGAUCGAAAAGAACACCAACGGCGAAAGCACUCUGCUGGGCCGACACUGACACUGAGAGACGAAAGCUAGGGGAGCAAAUGGGAUUAGAUACCCCUGUAGUCCCUGUCUCUUAUAA
rnacentral:rRNA from 1 species